GGAGGUAUAGCUCAGUGGUAGAGCAUGUGCUUAGCAUGCCCAAGGUCCUGGGUUCAAUCCCCAGUAUCUCUA
rnacentral:tRNA from 1 species